AGUGCAUACUCCAUCAAAUAGCUGGUUUAUGACGUUUUCCCAGCAUUUCAGCACAUCAAAUCAUCAAUUCAAGACUUGAGAAAAAUGUCUACACCCCGUGGGAG
rnacentral:sRNA from 1 species